UUCGAAGAACUGUAACAUGAGAUGGAACGUGGCUUUACCAGUAAGAUACUGAAGACAAUGCACAAUCAAAACAGGGGCUACCAAGAGGUGGAAGUGGUCUAGUUAAAGCAAAAGUGGACCAAUGAAGAUCAAAGAUUAUGGUGCAAGAGCCCAGGUCCUGGUACUGCAUAUCCUAAGGUGAAGAGAGACAAUGAAGUUCAGGAGGCAAAGCAGGACAAAUACUCUGAUGUAAAUUUUUAAUCGAAUCCCUGCGGUCUAGAACAAAUCAGCGGAAACUGUGGGUGGAUUCUGGUCUGUAAACUGUUUUAUUACCAGUCUGUGACAAGUUUCCAGCAUUCUAAUCAUGUACUGUGUCAAGCCAUUCCCUGCAGAUUCCAUCUAUCACGAAGGCAAAUGUUUGCAGACCAGAAAAGCUGCCUUGGGCUUGUAGGAGUUCCUGAGGCUCACAGGGUCCAAACUCGCCCGGACACACCCGAGGGACGGACAAAUCAAAUCAGGUAUGGAGGCAUUGGACCAGGUAAGGUCCCUGGACCCCUCUGAGUCAAGCCUGUGAGAUGACGGAAGAAGAGCGUGAUCACCUCCUGAGUGCAGGGAAUUCCCAGGGUGGGAAUGUGGAACCUCUGCCUGUCUGAAUGAGUGAGUGAAGAAUGAGUGAGGGUGACUGUUUGGUUCCAGCGCGACAGCUACGGAACCUGAGUGGGUCCUCACCUGUGGUUCUGUGGCCACCUCGUAUGGCAUAAUGGUGAUUCACUCCCCUCAACGGAGCGACCAGGCCUGGGGUUUAUAUGGGACACCUUAGAGUUCGAGACCAGCCUGAGCAA